UACGGAGGGUGCGAGCGUUGUCCGGAUUUAUUGGGUUUAAAGGGUGCGUAGGUGGCUUUUUAAGUCAGUGGUGAAAUACAGCCGCUUAACGGUUGAGGUGCCAUUGAUACUGAGAAGCUUGAAAUAAUUGGAGGCUGCCGGAAUGGAUGGUGUAGCGGUGAAAUGCAUAGAUAUCAUCCAGAACACCGAUUGCGAAGGCAGGUGGCUACGAUUUAUUUGACACUGAGGCACGAAAGCAUGGGGAGCAAACAGG
rnacentral:rRNA from 1 species